UACGUAGGGGGCAAGCGUUGUCCGGAUUUAUUGGGCGUAAAGAGCGUGUAGGCGGCCUGGCAAGUCCGCUGUGAAAACUCGAGGCUUAACCUCGAGACGUCGGUGGAAACUGCUUGGCUAGAGUCCGGAAGAGGAGAGUGGAAUUCCUGGUGUAGCGGUGAAAUGCGCAGAUAUCAGGAAGAACACCCGUGGCUAAGGCGGCUCUCUAGUACGGUACUGACGCUGAGACGCGAAAGCGUGGGGAGCAAACGGG
rnacentral:rRNA from 1 species